rnacentral:misc_RNA from 1 species
GAUGAAGAACGUAGCGAAAUGCGAUAAGUAAUGUGAAUUGCAGAAUUCAGUGAAUCAUCGAAUCUUUGAACGCACAUUGCGCCCGCCAGUAUUCUGGCGGGCAUGCCUGUUCGAGCGUCAUUUCAACCAUCAAGCCCCCGGCUUGUGUUGGGGACCUGCGGCUGCCGCAGGCCCUGAAAACCAGUGGCGGGCUCGCUAGUCACUCCGAGCGUAGUAAUACAUCUCGCUUAGGGCGUGCUGCGGGUUCCGGCCGUUAAAAAGCCUUAUUUACCCAAGGUUGACCUCGGAUCAGGUAGGAAGACCCGCUGAACUUAAGCAUAUCAAUAAGCGGAGGA